UACGUAGGUGGCAAGCGAUACUCGGAAUCACUAGGCGUAAAGCGCAGGUAGGCGGUUUGGUAAGUCUUUUGUGAAAGCUCCCGGCUCAACUGGGAGAGGUCAAAGGAAACUACCGGGCUAGAGUUUGGUAGGGGAUACUGGAAUUCCUGGUGUAGCGGUGAAAUGCGUAGAUAUCAGGAGGAAUACCUAUGGCGAAAGCAGGUAUCUGGGCCACAACUGACGCUGAGCUGCGAAAGCUAGGGGAGCAAACAGG
rnacentral:rRNA from 1 species